rnacentral:rRNA from 1 species
UACGUAGGGCAGCAAGCGUUGUUCGGAGUUACUGGGCGUAAAGGGUGCGUAGGCGGCUCUAUAAGUAGUGGUGUGAAAUCUCCCGGCUUAACUGGGAGGGUGCGCUAUAGACUGUGGGGCUAGAGUGUGGGAGAGGAAAGUGGAAUUCCUGGUGUAGCGGUGAAAUGCGUAGAUAUCAGGAGGAACACCGGUGGUGUAAACGGCUUCUGGACCAUAACUGACGCUGGAGGCAACGAAAGCCGUGGGUAGCAAACAGGA